UCGUUGACAACAUUAAUCUCGAUUAUUCCUGCCGCAAACGACAUUUUCAUUGCGAAUUCUUCAUCUUUCUUCGUGGUUGCAUUGAAGAGUCCUUGAAAGCUGAUUGAAGAAGGAGAAAGUGAUGAAAAGCCACACAGUUGCCCUCAUUCUCCUUGUUUUUGUUCUUAUUCAAUGUACUUUCAUCGAAUCUUGGUUUUGGCGUCGCCGUCGCCGUCGACAAAGCAGUUGCACGUACCCUAUUUCAAAAUACGGGAAUAAUGGUCAACGAAGUGACUAUUUUUAUGGCACAACAAGUCUCUUUAAAGGAAGAAAACGAGUUUUUCAAGUAAGCCCAUGGAAACUUCGCCAUAGCUUGAUCAUGUUCCGUGGAAAGAUAUUUGAGUGGGGUUUGGGAAGUCCGAAAACCUACAAAAUGAAUAGGAGCCCAAGUCAUUGUAAAAUACGCUGGAAUUGGGGUAGUAAAGGCACGAGCAAAUGCCGCUUGAGCGAUGCAGAGACCUGGACCCGAAAUUAUCGUAGGCGCUACGGCAGGUUUAGGCUGUUCAGGAACAACUGUCAUUACUUCGUUAACCGAUUGAUAAAAUACUUGGACAAAGAUUGCGGGCGUUGAGAACCAAAUAUUGAUACGGACGAUUAUGAUUAACGGACAACAUAAAAUUUACCCUUCAUACAUCUAUUCAAGUAUAGCAUUUCCUCAUUUAGUAACUAGCACUAGCAAAUAGCAAACGUAAACCUGUAACACGCAUGUAGUAAUUGAAAGCAUUUUUUAAUGAUAGCAAAGUAUAUAAUGAUAACUAUUUCUUCUUUGCAAAGCCAUGUAUCCUUAAGGCAUCAUCAAUAA